AUGCUUUCAAAAUCUGAGGUAAAUGAUCCAUUAUCGCUUGUGGCACAAGAAUUGAAUGCCUUUGAACUUCGACGAUCAGUUCCUCGUCGUCCAUGUUUGAUGAUUAAAUAUUCAUGACACGCAGAACUUCCAUCCAAUGAGAUCUCUGUGUGGGCGGAUCUGUCAG